rnacentral:rRNA from 1 species
GAGAGUUGAUCAUGGCUCAGGAUGAACGCUAGCGGCAGGCUAACACAUGCAAGUCGAGGGGCAGCGGGAUGUAGCAAUACAUGCCGGCGACCGGCGGAUGGGUGCGUAACGCGUAUGCAACCUACCUUAUACAGGGGAAUAACCUUUCGAAAGGGAGACUAACACCCCAUAGUAUUGAUUUAAGGCAUCUUAGAUUAAUUAAAUAUUUAUAGGUAUAAGAUGGGCAUGCGUAUGAUUAGCUAGUUGGUAAGGUAACGGCUUACCAAGGCGACGAUCAUUAGGGGUUCUGAGAGGAAGGUCCCCCACACUGGUACUGAGACACGGACCAGACUCCUACGGGAGGCAGCAGUGAGGAAUAUUGGUCAAUGGGCGCAAGCCUGAACCAGCCAUGCCGCGUGCAAGGAAGACGGCCUUAUGGGUUGUAAACUGCUUUUACAUAAGACUAACCGUAUAUUUGCGAAUAUACCUGAAUGUAUUAUGAGAAUAAGGAUCGGCUAACUCCGUGCCAGCCGCCGC